UUGCUUGUAUGGGAAAUGAUUUGAUAGUCUCAUCAUCUCAGCGGAUAUAACUGCUACUAAUCCCUUCCAUUUGGUAGGACAUGUAUUCCCACUCUCGAGUUGCACAGUGUCAUCAUCUGUUAGCUGCAGGACACCGCAAUCAAUAAGAUUCUGAAUAAGAUAGCGGAGUGCUCAGCAUUCUUCUGUGCUAUGACCGCGAGAAUGUGAAUGAUAUUG
rnacentral:lncRNA from 1 species